rnacentral:rRNA from 1 species
GAGUUUGAUCAUGGCUCAGGAUGAACGCUAGCGACAGGCUUAACACAUGCAAGUCGAGGGGCAGCGGGGGUAGCAAUACCCGCCGGCGACCGGCGCACGGGUGAGUAACGCGUAUGCAACUUACCUAUCAGAGGGGGAUAACCCGGCGAAAGUCGGACUAAUACCGCAUGAAGCAGGGGCCCCGCAUGGGGAUAUUUGCUAAAGAUUCAUCGCUGAUAGAUAGGCAUGCGUUCCAUUAGGCAGUUGGCGGGGUAACGGCCCACCAAACCGACGAUGGAUAGGGGUUCUGAGAGGAAGGUCCCCCACAUUGGUACUGAGACACGGACCAAACUCCUACGGGAGGCAGCAGUGAGGAAUAUUGGUCAAUGGGCGUAAGCCUGAACCAGCCAAGUCGCGUGAGGGAUGAAGGUUCUAUGGAUCGUAAACUUCUUUUAUAAGGGAAUAAAGUGUGGGACGUGUCCUAUUUUGUAUGUACCUUAUGAAUAAGGAUCGGCUAACUCCGUGCCAGCAGCCGCGGUAAUACGGAGGAUCCGAGCGUUAUCCGGAUUUAUUGGGUUUAAAGGGUGCGUAGGCGGCCUUUUAAGUCAGCGGUGAAAGUCUGUGGCUCAACCAUAGAAUUGCCGUUGAAACUGGGGGGCUUGAGUAUGUUUGAGGCAGGCGGAAUGCGUGGUGUAGCGGUGAAAUGCUUAGAUAUCACGCAGAACCCCGAUUGCGAAGGCAGCCUGCCAAGCCAUGACUGACGCUGAUGCACGAAAGCGUGGGGAUCAAACAGGAUUAGAUACCCUGGUAGUCCACGCAGUAAACGAUGAUCACUAGCUGUUUGCGAUACAGUGUAAGCGGCACAGCGAAAGCGUUAAGUGAUCCACCUGGGGAGUACGCCGGCAACGGUGAAACUCAAAGGAAUUGACGG